rnacentral:rRNA from 1 species
AUUGAACGCUGGCGGCAUGCUUUACACAUGCAAGUCGAACGGCAGCGGGGAGGAGCUUGCUUCUCUGCCGGCGAGUGGCGAACGGGUGAGUAAUACAUCGGAACGUGUCGAGAAGAGGGGGAUAACCACCCGAAAGGGUGGCUAAUACCGCAUAAAUUCUGAGGAAGAAAGCUGGGGACCUAGGAAUAGGCCUAGCGCUUUUUGAGCGGCCGAUGUCGGAUUAGCUAGUUGGUGAGGUAAAGGCUCACCAAGGCGAAGAUCUGUAGCGGGUCUGAGAGGAUGAUCCGCCACACUGGGACUGAGACACGGCCCAGACUCCUACGGGAGGCAGCAGUGGGGAAUUUUGGACAAUGGGGGCAACCCUGAUCCAGCCAUGCCGCGUGUAUGAAGAAGGCCUUAGGGUUGUAAAGUACUUUUGUUAGGGAAGAAAAGGCAGCUGUGAAUAAUGGCUGAUACUGACGGUACCUAAAGAAUAAGCACCGGCUAACUACGUG